AUAAUAAUUAGUUUUUUAAUUGAAAACUGGAAUGAAUGAUUGGAUAAAAUAUAAGCUUUUUUUUUUAAAAUUUUGUAAAAUUUAAAUUUUUAGUUAAAAAGCUAAAAUUAUUUAAAAAGACGAGAAGACCCUAUAGAUUUUUAUUUAAUUAAAAUUUAUUAAUUUAAAUUUAAUUAAAUUUUAUUGGGGGGAUAAAAAAAUUUAAAAAACUUUUUGAUUUAUAGACAAUAAUGUAUGAAAUUUAAAAAUAUAAACUAUUUAAAUUAUUAUAAAUAAAGAUUAAAAUACCUUAGGGAUAACAGCGUAAUUUUAAUUUUAAGAUCUUAUUUAAAUUAGAGAUUGC
rnacentral:rRNA from 1 species